UGUAACAGAGGCACGUAAGUUAUAACCCAAACUCAAUCACUGGAGGCUACUGUGAGGUUAAUCUGGUGAAAAUUUACCAUUAGUGAACACUUUAUUAGGUGUACCUGUACACCUCAUUAAUGCAAAUAUCUAAUCAGCCAAUUAUGUAGCAGCAACUCAAUGUAUAAAAGCUUGCAGACAUAGCCAAGAGGUUCACUUGUUCAAACCAAACAUCACAAUUAGGAGGAAAUAUCUAAGUGACUUUAUGGAAUGAUUGUUGGUGCCAGAUGGAGUGGUUGAGUAUCUCGGAUACUGUUGAUACCCUGGCAUUUUCAUCUGAAAGUUUACAGAGAAUGGUGCGAGAAACAGAAAAAAAACAGCUUUUUGAGAGAGAGGUCAGAGGAGAAUGGCCAGACUGGUUCAAGCUGAUGGGAUGCAACAGUAACUCAAAUAACGCUCCAUUACAACACUGGUGAAAUUUGUCUUGUGCAAGAGAACAGAAGCCUAAGAAAGAAACAACAAAUGAUCUAAUGGUAUAAGAACGCACUUUAGUGGACCCGGAAUUCCCCGUAAGCAAGCACAAAAAGUAUUGCAUGGUUUUCCUAAGUAUGCUGAAUUGCCUGACCACCUAGGUUACAUCAACAGUACAGAAGUGUGACAAUAUCCUUCGAGUUUUAAUCCAUUUCCAACAAUGAACAAAGUCUGGUGCUCUGUCACGUUUCACAAGGGAAAUAUGUACUUUACAAUUAACCUCCAUGUGGACUUAAUUUCCAGAAGUGUCCCUCAUAACCUCAAAAAACUCUAUUAAUUUUUUUUGACAGCAGAGGAGAAAUACUACUGAAGCCAGAAGCAAAGCGAUGGCAGAAAACUUAUAUCAUGUCCUCUGAGCCCACUCUCCAAAGUGUACUCUCUGCUACACUCUAGGUAGCAUAUUUCAAUGUGGUAAACUUUACAAUUGUUGUACACCAGUAGCAUAUACUAGGAAUCCUUGUACCAUUCUAAAUCCAGAGAAAAUAAACAGAUCAAAUAAAUAAAUAAAUCAAGAAAAUAAAAUUUGGAAACAUAAAUGAUUUAUAACCAAUCAUAAGUAUAUUUUAUGUUCUGUGUGUGUUUAGUUUUUGCUACAUGUGUGAUUUGAUUUAAGUAUCAAAGCCAUGGGCGAAGGACAAACCGACAUUGAGCUCACUACUCUGCAAGGUUUACUCACUUCAGCACUGAGUUGACUCUGCAGCUGUGGCCUGCAGUCAUCGGCGCUUGCCUCGGCGAAUUGGCAUUGUGGCCGUAAGCUGCAGCCAUUGGACUCCUGCACCAGCUUCAUUUGCCUGAGUGCUGAAAUGGCUCCCUGGCUGUGGCACUCUGCAGUUAAUGUUUUCUGUGCUAUUUGUUUUUUUUUGCAUAUUGAG